UACGAAGGGGGGCUAGCGUUGCUCGGAAUCACUGGGCGUAAAGCGCACGUAGGCGGCUUCUUAAGUCAGGGGUGAAAUCCUGGAGCUCAACUCCAGAACUGCCUUUGAUACUGAGAGCUUGAGUUCGGGAGAGGUGAGUGGAACUGCGAGUGUAGAGGUGAAAUUCGUAGAUAUUCGCAAGAACACCAGUGGCGAAGGCGGCUCACUGGCCCGAUACUGACGCUGAGGUGCGAAAGCGUGGGGAGCAAACGGG
rnacentral:rRNA from 1 species